AUGGCGUCGUUCACAAAUCUCACACUACCACUUGUCUUGCUCGCCAUCCUCUUUCCAACAAUCGCACUAUGCUAUAUCAAUCCAGCUGCCACAAGCGUACAUCAAAAUACCAGAAAACCCUCUGCUUAUCGUUCUUACAUCGUGCUCGUCGAGCCACCGCGUUCGGAUGCCAGUGAAGAAGCCCAUCGCCAGUGGCACAAGUCUUUCUUGCCGAGUGAGUCCAAUGAGUCGCGCCUUCUCCAUUCCUACACCGAGGUUUUCAGUGGCUUCGCCGCGAGGCUCACCGACGUGGAGCUCGACACGGUGGCCAAGACACCAGGGUUCGUGCGUGCAUUCCCCGACCGGACGCUCCUGCUAAUGACCACCCACACGCCGGAGUUCCUUGGGCUAAGGAAUGGCACCGGGUUCUGGAGCCAGGCUGGGUACGGGAAGGGAGUCAUCAUUGGACUGCUCGACAGCGGCAUCUAUGCGACACACCCUUCCGACCAUGGAGUUCCGUCACCCCCAGCAAGGUGGAAGGGCUCAUGCAAGGCGGCCCGGUGCAACAACAAGCUCAUCGGUGCCAAGUCACUCAUUGCGGGUGAUGACUGUGAUGACAGAGAGGGGCAUGGUACGCACACAUCAUCCAUCGCCGCCGGGAACUUUGUAGCCGGUGCAUCAUACCAUGGCAUGGGCAUGGGCACCGCGGCCGGAAUUGCUCCGGGCGCUCACAUCGCCAUGUACAAGGUAUGUACUACUGGCAGCUGCAAGCAAUCUACCGUACUGGCCGGUCUAGAAGAGGCCAUCAAGGAUGGGGUGGACGUGCUCUCGCUCUCAAUUGGCACCGAGUUCAGCGUUAGCUUCGACCAUCCCAUCGCCAUCGGCGCGUUCAGUGCCAUGUCCAAGGGCAUCCUGGUGGUGUGUGCCGCCGGCAACAAUGGUCCGCAUGAGCACCUGGGAUACCUCACCAACGAAGCGCCGUGGUUGCUCAUGGUCGCCGUCGGCUCCAUUGACCGGAGCUUCAGCGCCAGCAUACGUCUCGGCAACGGCAAGAGCAUCGAUGGAGAAGCACUUCAGAAAGGGAGUCCAAGCUCCAAGCUGUACCCUCUCCUCUACUCUGAGGAACAAGAGUACUGCGUUUACUCUGAGGGUGACACUAGUCUCGCUGGUAAGAUCCUGGUUUGCAAGGACCAUAUGUCCAAUCUUCAACUGUCAAAAAUCCGCAACAUAAUGAGCUCUGGCGCAGUAGGCGUGGUCUUGUUCAAUUGGCGAACGUGCGGCUACACCACCAUUCUUAAGGAUACCAACUCCAGUAUUGUACAGGUGACUGCGGCCGACGGCGAAGCCCUCUUAGCUUACAUCGCGUCGACGUCGACGGAGGGCAGCCCCAUGGCGUCUCUCACAUACAAUGGCACACAAUUUGGCGUCCGCCCAGCCCCCGUUGUGGCCUGGUUCUCUUCCCGCGGUCCAAGCAAAUCAUCGUGCUGCUAA
rnacentral:rRNA from 1 species